AUUGAACGCUGGCGGCAUGCCUUACACAUGCAAGUCGAACGGCAGCACGGGUGCUUGCACCUGGUGGCGAGUGGCGAACGGGUGAGUAAUACAUCGGAACGUACCUUAUCGUGGGGGAUAACGCAGCGAAAGCUGUGCUAAUACCGCAUACGCCCUGAGGGGGAAAGCGGGGGAUCGCAAGACCUCGCGCGCUUAGACCGGCCAACGCCUGAUUAGCUUGUUGGUAGGGUAAAAGCCCACCAAGGCGACGAUCAGUAGCUGGUCUGGGAGGACGAUCAGCCACACUGGGACUGAGACACGGCCCAGACUCCUACGGGAGGCAGCAGUGGGGAAUUUUGGACAAUGGGGGCAACCCUGAUCCAGCAAUGCCGCGUGAGUGAAGAAGGCCUUCGGGUUGUAAAGCUCUUUUGUCAGGGAAGAAACACCGGCUCUAACACAGUCCGGGAAUGACGGUACCUGAAGAAUAAGCACCGGCUAACUACGUGCCAGCCGCCGCCGUAA
rnacentral:rRNA from 1 species